CGGAGGGUGCAAGCGUUAUCCGGAUUCACUGGGUUUAAAAGGGUGCGUAGGCGGGCAUGUAAGUCAGUGGUGAAAUCUUUGGGCUUAACCCGAAAACUGCCAUUGAUACUAUAUGUCUUGAAUAUUGUGGAGGCUAGCGGAAUAUGUCAUGUAGCGGUGAAAUGCUUAGAGAUGACAUAGAACACCUAUUGCGAAGGCAGCUGGCUACGCAUAUAUUGACGCUGAGGUACGAAAGCGUGGGGAUCAAACAGGAUUAGAUACCCUGGUAGUCCACGCCCUAAACGAUGGAUACUCGACAUACGCGAUACACAGUGUGUGUCUGAGCGAAAGCAUAAGUAUCCCACCUGGGAAGUACGACCGCAAGGUUG
rnacentral:rRNA from 1 species